AGCGAACGCUGGCGGCAGGCUUAACACAUGCAAGUCGAGCGGGCACUUCGGUGUCAGCGGCAGACGGGUGAGUAACACGUGGGAACGUACCCUUUGGUUCGGAAUAACGCUGGGAAACUAGCGCUAAUACCGGAUACGCCCUUUUGGGGAAAGGCUUGCUGCCGAAGGAUCGGCCCGCGUCUGAUUAGCUAGUUGGUGGGGUAAUGGCCUACCAAGGCGACGAUCAGUAGCUGGUCUGAGAGGAUGAUCAGCCACACUGGGACUGAGACACGGCCCAGACUCCUACGGGAGGCAGCAGUGGGGAAUACUGGACAAUGGGCGCAAGCCUGAUCCAGCCAUGCCGCGUGAGUGAUGAAGGCCUUAGGGUUGUAAAGCUCUUUUGUCCGGGACGAUAAUGACGGUACCGGAAGAAUAAGCCCCGGCUAACUUCGUG
rnacentral:rRNA from 1 species